rnacentral:rRNA from 1 species
AGAGUAAAAUAGUACGUGAAAUUGUUGAAAGGGAAACGAUUGAAGUCAGUCGUACCGACGGAAAAUCAGCUCUUCGGGUGCGGACUUGUGGGCGUGCGUGAGCUUUACGGUCUCGCUGUUUGCAAUGUACGUGCUUUUUGGGUGUACUUUUUCGUAUGGUAGGCCAACGUCAGUUUCGAUCGCUAUAAAAUGACCGGCGGAAUGUAGCUUCGAUCUCGUAUUGAAGUGUUAUAGACUCUGGUAGAUGUGACGUCUGGGAUUGAGGAUUGCAACGGAUACCUCUCGGGGCUACCUGCCUGGCCUCUGAUGAUUGCUUUGGUGCCGAAAGCUUGCUUACGGUUAUUUAAGUUUGACGGUCAAAAGGUUAGAACGUGAUUACAUUCGUUAAGGAUGUUGGCGUAAUGACUUUAAACGACC